rnacentral:rRNA from 1 species
GACGAACGCUGGCGGCGUGCCUAAUACAUGCAAGUCGAACGCACUCUCGUUAGAUUGAAGAAGCUUGCUUCUGAUUGAUAACAUUUGAGUGAGUGGCGGACGGGUGAGUAACACGUGGGUAACCUGCCCUAAAGUGGGGGAUAACAUUUGGAAACAGAUGCUAAUACCGCAUAAAACCUAGCACCGCAUGGUGCAAGGUUGAAAGAUGGUUUCGGCUAUCACUUUAGGAUGGACCCGCGGUGCAUUAGUUAGUUGGUGAGGUAAAGGGCUCACCAAGACCGUGAUGCAUAGCCGACCUGAGAGGGUAAUCGGCCACACUGGGACUGAGACACGGCCCAGACUCCUACGGGAGGCAGCAGUAGGGAAUCUUCCACAAUGACGAAAGUACUGAUGGAGCAACGCCGCGUGAGUGAAGAAAGG